CCUCGGGUGGCUGCAGUGAGGAAUAUUUGUCAAUGGGCGCGAGCCUGAACCAGCCAAGUAGCGUUAAGGAUGACUGCCCUACGGGUUGUAAACUUCUUUUAUAAAGGAAUAAAGUGAGGCACGUGUGCCUUUUUGUAUGUACUUUAUGAAUAAGGAUCGGCUAACUCCGUGCCAGCAGCCGCGGUAAUACGGAGGAUCCGAGCGUUAUCCGGAUUUAUUGGGUUUAAAGGGGGCGUAGAUGGGUUGUUAAGUCAGUUGUGAAAGUUUGCGGAUCAACCGUAAAAUUGCAAUUGAUACUGGCAGCCUUGAGGACAGUUGAGGUAGGAGGAAUUCGUGGUGUAGCGGUGAAAUGCUUAGAUAUCACGAAGAACUCCGAUUGCGAAGGCAGCCCACUAAACUGCCACUGACAUUGAUGCUCGAAAGUGUGGGUAUCAAACAGGAUUAGAUACCCUGGUAGUC
rnacentral:rRNA from 1 species